UAUAGCUCAGUGGUAGAGCGCUUGCCUACCAAGCAUAAGGCCCUGGGUUUAAUCCUCAGUA
rnacentral:tRNA from 1 species